rnacentral:rRNA from 1 species
GAUGAACGCUGGCGGCGUGCUUAACACAUGCAAGUCGAACGAUGGAACCCAGAUUUUUGUGCGGAUUUGUUACGAACGGGUGAGUAACUCGUGAGUAACCUACCUUUAUAUCUGACAUAGGCAUGUGCGAGUGAGCCUAAUUACGGCCAGAAGCGCCUACCACCCGGAGGGUGUUGGAAAGAUGUACCGGUUUUGGAUGGAUUGUCGGCCUAUCCGCUUUUUGGUGAGGAAAUGGCUGACGAAGGCGACGCCGGGUAGCCGGCCCUGGACGGGGAACGGCCACAAUGGUACUGCGAGAGGCCGCAGACGCCUACGGGAGGCAGCAGGGGGGAAUAUUGCGCAAUGGGGGCACGUCUGAUGCAGCGACGCCGCGUGCGGGAUGACGUCUUUCGGGUUAUAAACCUCUUUCAGUAGGGAAGAAGCGAAAGUGACGGUACCUGCAGAGGAAGCACCGGCUAACUACGUG